AUAACAUUUUAUAAUCAGAUAACGGAUCAGGAAAACAAAAUCCUUGAUAGUAAAUGCAAUAAAAAUAUUUUAAAGUUGGAUGAUUUUGUACAAGAAUGUUAAACAUGUUUCUGUAGUGCACAAAGCGCGGCUUGGCUGAUUAUGUGGACAUUGGCGGCGCCAGCGGUCUCGACCACACGAAAAUGGAGGUCCUCGACAGUGUGUGCGGACUCGACUCUAAUGAAGCUCGUCGCGCGGCGCUCAUCGCUUGCGAAGACACCGUUGUGCGGCUAGUAUCAAGCGGACAGUACUACAACUCCGUCACUGUGGCUUUCGCCCCUCUCCCCGCUGAGGACAUCGAACGCGCGGACUUGCUAUGCGGCUUCAACGACAUGUAAAAACUAUGGACAGUUUAUUGGACGCCUCGCAGACUUGCUUAUAACGUUGUAAAGUUCGUGUAGUAUGAAUUACUGAGUCUUAUUUACUGUGGUUAUAGACAUUAUGUGACAAAAUCUGACAUCGCAAAGAAUAGCAACAGAAAUAAUAUAUAAAAUUAAAUGUAGAUUGUGAAGAUUUAUCGUGUAAGUAGACAUUUGAAUAAAAAUAUCUUUGUUUCAUUAUGUAAUCGACUCGACUUAGGAACUGGUAUGAGAAUAAAGAAGUUUAAGUAUUAAAUAGUUUAUAGUCCCCAGGUUAUGACCCCGCCGUCUAGAUUAUGUAAUCAAAAUGGAUUACCGACUUCAAAGUUUAUCUCUAGUCACAAGUAAAUUAUAGAUGUUUUACAUACAAAUUGCCAAUAAAUAAGUGUAUAUGUCAAAA